UACGUUGGGUGCGCGCGUUAAUCGGAAUUCCUGGGCGUAAAGCGCACGUAGGCGGAUCGAUCAGUCCGGGGUGAAAUCCCAGGGCUCAACCCUGGAACUGCCUUUGAUACUGUCGAUCUGGAGUAUGGAAGAGGUGAGUGGAAUUCCGAGUGUAGAGGUGAAAUUCGGAGAUAUUCGGAGGAACACCAGUGGCGAAGGCGGCUCACUGGUCCAUUACUGACGCUGAGGUGCGAAAGCGUGGGGAGCAAA
rnacentral:rRNA from 1 species